UUCUUAUUAGCUCAAUGGUAGAGCAGAAUACUUCUAAUAUUCGUACCUAAGUUCGAAUCUUAGAUAAGAAU
rnacentral:tRNA from 1 species